AGUGAACGCUGGCGGUAGGCCUAACACAUGCCAGUCGAACGGCAGCACAGUAAGGGCUUGCUCUUACGGGUGGCGAGUGGCGGACGGGUGAGGAAUACAUCGGAAUCUACUUUUUCGUGGGGGAUAACGUAGGGAAACUUACGCUAAUACCGCAUACGACCUACGGGUGAAAGCAGGGGAUCUUCGGACCUUGCGCGAUUGAAUGAGCCGAUGUCGGAUUAGCUAGUUGGCGGGGUAAAGGCCCACCAAGGCGACGAUCCGUAGCUGGUCUGAGAGGAUGAUCAGCCACACUGGAACUGAGACACGGUCCAGACUCCUACGGGAGGCAGCAGUGGGGAAUAUUGGACAAUGGGCGCAAGCCUGAUCCAGCCAUACCGCGUGGGUGAAGAAGGCCUUCGGGUUGUAAAGCCCUUUUGUUGGGAAAGAAAAGCAGCGGGUUAAUACCCCGCUGUUCUGACGGUACCCAAAGAAUAAGCACCGGCUAACUUCGUG
rnacentral:rRNA from 1 species